rnacentral:rRNA from 1 species
GACGAACGCUGGCGGCGUGCUUAACACAUGCAAGUCGAACGGAAAGGCCCUGCUUUUGUGGGGUGCUCGAGUGGGGAACGGGUGAGUAACACGUGAGUAACCUGCCCUUGACUUUGGGAUAACUUCAGGAAACUGGGGCUAAUACCGGAUAGGAGCUCCUGCUGCAUGGUGGGGUUUGGAAAGUUUCGGCGGUUGGGGAUGGACUCGCGGCUUAUCAGCUUGUUGGUGGGGUAGUGGCUUACCAAGGCUUUGACGGGUAGCCGGCCUGAGAGGGUGACCGGCCACAUUGGGACUGAGAUACGGCCCAGACUCCUACGGGAGGCAGCAGUGGGGAAUAUUGCACAAUGGGCGGAAGCCUGAUGCAGCAACGCCGCGUGCGGGAUGACGGCCUUCGGGUUGUAAACCGCUUUCGCCUGUGACGAAGCGUGAGUGACGGUAAUGGGUAAAGAAGCACCGGCUAACUACGUG